rnacentral:rRNA from 1 species
AUUGAACGCUGGCGGCAUGCUUUACACAUGCGAGUCGAACGGCAGCGCGGGCUUCGGCCUGGCGGCGAGUGGCGAACGGGUGAGUAAUACAUCGGAACGUGCCCAGUAGUGGGGGAUAGCUCGGCGAAAGCCGGAUUAAUACCGCAUACGACCUGAGGGUGAAAGCGGGGGAUCUUCGGACCUCGCGCUAUUGGAGCGGCCGAUGGCAGAUUAGCUAGUUGGUGGGGUAAAGGCCUACCAAGGCGACGAUCUGUAGCUGGUCUGAGAGGACGACCAGCCACACUGGGACUGAGACACGGCCCAGACUCCUACGGGAGGCAGCAGUGGGGAAUUUUGGACAAUGGGCGAAAGCCUGAUCCAGCAAUGCCGCGUGUGUGAUGAAGGCCUUCGUGUUGUAAAGCACUUUUGGCGGGAACGAAAAGGACUGUGCCAAUACCACGGUUCGAUGACGGUACCCGCAGAAUAAGCACCGGCUAACUACGUG